rnacentral:lncRNA from 1 species
CAUGUGUAAUUACCCGGUGUAUAUAUAGAGACAAUACAUGUGUAAUUACCUGCUGUAUAUAGAGACAGUACAUGUGUAUAAGUGUAAAAUGAUUGUAUAGUGAUUGUAGCUGAGGAUAUGGAUGUGUCAUAAGGUAGUGUACAGGUCAUAUGAUACAUCAUCAGGCAGUGUACAGGAUAUAUGAUGCGUCAUAAGGCAGUGUACAGGUCAUAUGAUGCAUCAUCACGCAGUGUACAGGUCAUAUGACGCGUCAUAAGGUAGUGUAUAGGUUAUAUGACACAUCAUAAGGUAGUGUAUAGGUUAUAUGACACGUCAUAAGGUAGUGUACAGGUUAUAUGACGCGUCAUAAGGUAGUGUAUAUGUUAUAUGAUGCAUGAUAAGGUAGUGUAUAGGUUAUGUGAUGCGUCAUAAGGUAGUGUAUAGGUUAUAUGAUGCAUGAUAAGGUAGUGUAUAGGUUAUAUGAUGCGUCAUAAGGUAGUGUAUAAUGUCUCUAUCGUAGCUGGUCUCACCGCUGAUAACCGGGCGGAUCUCCUCUGGGGCUGCAACAGGAAGAGGAAGAGAAAACAUAUCACCACAGAAAAACACACGCUGUCAGAGAUCAACUAUGAUGAAACUGAGCUGACAAUACGAGUUCAUUUAUUGAAUAGUAAUUAUAGGGGAUGAGUUGUAGUCGAGGAUCUCGGUCUCACCUCCUCCUUGGUGUCCCCAGCGGCUCCCUGCUGAGGACAAACACAAACAACGACAAAUAAACAACUUUUAUCACAACAACAACACUUUAUUGGCUUUUAUAAGAGCAAGUAACAGUCUACUGUGGCUCAAAUUACAUAUUUCUUCACUGUCAAGGAAGACCCCAGAUAACUUUUCAAUUUCAAGAAAAAAGUAAAAAUGUCAUAGAUAAUGUUCAAAUAAAUGUGUUUUUAGAACCAUUAGAUUGAACUGUAAUGUAAUAUUUGAGUUUUGUUAAC